GAUGAACGCUGGCGGCGUGCCUAAUACAUGCAAGUCGAGCGAACAGACGAGGAGCUUGCUCCUCUGACGUUAGCGGCGGACGGGUGAGUAACACGUGGAUAACCUACCUAUAAGACUGGGAUAACUUCGGGAAACCGGAGCUAAUACCGGAUAAUAUAUUUAACCGCAUGGUUCAAUAGUGAAAGACGGUUUUGCUGUCACUUAUAGAUGGAUCCGCGCCGCAUUAGCUAGUUGGUAAGGUAACGGCUUACCAAGGCGACGAUGCGUAGCCGACCUGAGAGGGUGAUCGGCCACACUGGAACUGAGACACGGUCCAGACUCAUACGGGAGGCAGCAGUAGGGAAUCUUCCGCAAGGGGCGAAAGCCUGACGGAGCAACGCCGCGUGAGUGAUGAAGGUCUUCGGAUCGUAGAACUCUGUUAUUAGGGAAGAACAAAUGUGUAAGUAACUAUGCACGUCUUGACGGUACCUCAUCAGAAAGCCACGGCGACUACGUG
rnacentral:rRNA from 1 species